rnacentral:rRNA from 1 species
UACGGGGGGGCAAGCGUUGUUCGGAAUUACUGGGCGUAAAGGGCUCGUAGGUGGCCAACUAAGUCGGACGUGAAAUCCCUCGGCUUAACCGGGGAACUGCGUCUGAUACUGGAUGGCUUGAGUUCGGGAGAGGGAUGCGGAAUUCCAGGUGUAGCGGUGAAAUGCGUAGAUAUCUGGAGGAACACCGGUGGCGAAGGCGGCAUCCUGGACCGACACUGACGCUGAGGAGCGAAAGCCAGGGGAGCAAAGCGGG